UACGUAGGGCGCAAGCGUUGUCCGGAAUUAUUGGGCGUAAAGAGCUCGUAGGCGGCUUGUCACGUCGGGUGUGAAAGCCCGAGGCUUAACCCCGGGUCUGCAUUCGAUACGGGCUGGCUGGAGUGUGGUAGGGGAGAUCGGAAUUCCUGGUGUAGCGGUGAAAUGCGCAGAUAUCAGGAGGAACACCGGUGGCGAAGGCGGAUCUCUGGGCCAUUACUGACGCUGAGGAGCGAAAGCGUGGGGAGCGAACAGG
rnacentral:rRNA from 1 species